GGCCUGAUGGUCUAGUAGUAUGAUUCCUUGUUAGGGUUCGCCUGUUACGGGAUCGAAGUCAUCGAGGAGGUCCCGGGUUCAAUUCCCGGUCAGGCCC